rnacentral:rRNA from 1 species
AACGAACGCUGGCGGCAUGCCUAACACAUGCAAGUCGAACGAGAUCUUCGGGUCUAGUGGCGCACGGAUGCGUAACGCGUGGGAAUCUGCCCUUUGGUUCGGAAUAACAGUUGGAAACGACUGCUAAUACCGGAUGAUGGCGAAAGUCCAAAGAUUUAUCGCCAGAGGAUGAGCCCGCGUAGGAUUAGCUAGUUGGUGUGGUAAAGGCGCACCAAGGCGACGAUCCUUAGCUGGUCUGAGAGGAUGAUCAGCCACACUGGGACUGAGACACGGCCCAGACUCCUACGGGAGGCAGCAGUGGGGAAUAUUGGACAAUGGGCGAAAGCCUGUUCCAGCAAUGCCGCGUGAGUGAUGAAGGCCUUAGGGUUGUAAAGCUCUUUUACCCGGGAUGAUAAUGACAGUACCGGGAGAAUAAGCUCCGGCUAACUCCGUGCCAGCCGCCGCAGUAA